GUUGAAGGUGCGCCCCGUGCCUGAAGACGUUCCCUGUGCCUGAAGCCGCUCCCUGUUACUGAAGCCUUGCCUCUUGCCUGAAACAGUUCCACGUGCCUGUACUCAAGCCCCUUGCCUGAAGGCAAAACCCACACCUGAAGAGUUCACUGUGCAUGAUGGGGAGCCUCUUGUUGAAAGGCACAUGUGCUCCCCUUGCCUGAAUGGCACAGGAGAUCCAGGUGCCUGAAGUCGCGCCGCAUGCCUUAAGAAGCUCCCCGUGCCUGAAGACAAGGCCCAUGCCAGAAGGCGCUCCCCUGACUCAAGGUCACAGGUACUCCCUGAAGUCUUGCCAAUGCCUGACUGAGCGCCCCUUACCUGAGUGUGCCCUAUGUCUGAUGGUGAGCCCAGUGCCUGAUGGCCCUCCCAGUGCCUGAAGAACACAGAGGCUCCCCUUGCCUGAAGUCGUGCCCUGUGCAUGUAGCCUCUCACUGUAACUGAAGGUGCUCCCAGUGCCUGAAGACAAGCUCCAUGGUUGAAGGUGCGCCCUGUGCCUGGAAAGUUUCCCUGUGCCUGAAGCAGCUCCCUGUUCCCGAAGGCAUGCCUCUUGCCUGAAACAGCUCCAUGUGCAAUUACUCAAGCCCCUUGCCUGAAGGCAACCCUCCUACCUGAAGCCUUGCCCCUUACAUGAAGCCCCGCCCAGUUUCUGCAGGCAAGCCCCUUGCCUGAAGGCACGCCCAAUGUCUGAAGUCUUGCCCCACGCCUGAAUUCUCACCCUGUGCCUGUUGGUUAGCCCACUGCCUGAAGGGCACAGGCAUGCCCAGUGCCUGAGGGCAAGCCCAGUGACUGAAGUCAGUCGCCCCCAAUGGCUGAAGUCAUGCCCAGUGAAUGAAGUCAUUCCCAAAGCCACUCCCAGGGACUGAAGUCAAAGUCACUCCCAGUGAAGGAAGUUACUCCCAAAGUCACUCCCAAUGAGGGAAGCCCCUCCUGUGGUCACUCCCCAUGAUGGAAGUCACUCCAGAUAUCACUCCCAGUGACUGAAGUCACUGGCGAAGUCACUCCCAGUGAAGGAAUUCCCUCUGGAAGUCACUCCAGGUGAGGAAAGUCACUCCAGAAGCCACUCCCAGUGACUGAAGUCAAAGUCACACUCAGUGUCUGCAGUUACUCCUAGUGACUGCAGUCCUCACUCCCAGUGACUGAAGUCUUCACUGCCAGUGCCUGAAGUAGGCACUCCCAGUGCCUGAAGGAAUUGCAGGGGAAGGACAGAGAGAGAGGGAGACACAGAAUUCCAAGCAGCGUCCAGGCUCUGUGGUCUCAGCACAGAAACUCCCGGGGAAGGUCAGAGAGAGAGAGAGGGAGAUACAGAAUCGCAAGCAGCCUCUCCUAGCUCUGUCGUGGGAUCACAGAACCUCCAGUGCUCUGCCCCUGGCUUAAUCUUGUCCUCAGCACAGUUCUGGACACAGACAUGGACACUCCCAUUUUACUGAAGGAAACCAGCCCAGGCUCACACAGCUGGAGUCCUCAGGAGAUCCCUAUUGAGUCAGCUGGAUUUCUUCUCUGACGACCACCCUCUCCCCCCGGAGAAUCAAGUAUAUGAAGGUUCACCUCUCCCUUAAUGAAGUUGAUACCAAGGGAGUGAAAUCAAAGUCCGAAAAACAGCCUCUGCAGAAAGAAAAUGCUCAGCUUAAGAUCCAAAAGAAUCAGGAAGCUGGGACUGAAAGAAUGGGAGCAGUGGAAGGGGAGAAGCAGCUGUCAGCCACAGAGGAGAAAGUGAAAUUAGCUGCAGAAGAGCUUCGGAACUACAAACUAUGUGGAAAUGGUUCCUGAACAUGUUUCUCGAGGUCCUGGAAAUGAUUACACACCUCAGGAAGCAGUUUGGUCAAGGACAAAUCACAUCGACAAGUAUGAAGAUCCCAUUUUAGAGACGCACUUGUUGUAACCAUGAGAAAUAUGAUAAGGAUACAAGGAAAAGAAGAUUUGAGCUUUACAAUGAAAGAUCCUCACUGCAGAAUUCAGUUCUUGUGAUGGGAAACUGGGCCAAUUAACAUCACGCUCAACAUGGUGCUUCAUCUGAUGAAAGCCAUUGCACGCCCAGGAGAAGAAUAGAAGAAACACAAGAACAGCUGCAGCAGUCAGAGCUCACCUUCAGACACCAGGUAGCCUGCACUCUGCCUAGUAGUUCCUAAGUGCUUCAGCACCUAACGCAGAUGAUCAUAACGGGACACUGAAUCUCUCCACAUGGGUUUUAUUGAUGUGCUGACUGUUUCUGAUUGCUCUUUGUGACAAGGCAUUUCAGGACAACUGGGUAAGAAUGUUUCCUCUCCUCCUCUUGUGCACACCCCGCCACAACUAAACGUAGAUGUGUUUCUCUCUCGAGUUCGGGGCUCAUGAUCUGAAGAAGGCAGUGGCGGAGCAGAGCAGGGAGGUUGCCUACUUGAAAUGCAGGUACAGGAUUUUGGCAUAUUUCUUUUAAGGGCGCUGUGACGUUUUAAAAAAGGCUAAACCAUUUGGUGUCCAAUGGAGGCCUGGUUGUGGUAACUCUUAGUGAAAUUGACUCAUCUCGAUCUUUAAGACUGGAAGUCAUCCAAAGACAGAGGCUUCUAGAGGAAUUCAGGAGGCACAAGCCAAUGGCACGGGGACCUGACAAGGAGAUCCCUCCAUGGAGAGAUUCAAAAUUGUUUUAAGGGAGAAAUCCUGUCACAAAUACGGAGGAACAGGAGUCACUUUCAGUUUGGAAGUAAAGACACCAAAUGUUGACUCUCAGGACCUUCUAGAAGAAUCAGCUGGGACCCACUCUCCAAGUCCUGCUGGAAGCAGAGCCAGAGAAUUCUCAGAAUGAGAAAUAGGACAGGAAAGACCUAUUGAAGCUUCUCUGAUGAGUCACUGGAUUUGCAUGCGUGGAGGAUACAUUUGGGACUGAAAUGAACAACCUACCUUUAAUUUCAAAGAACUAGAAAAGGACAACAAUCUACGUGCAAUGUUCUCAAAACGGAGAAAGGAAUACAUAUGAGAGUGGAAACCAAUGAAACUGAGACCAUGAAAUCAAUAGAAAAUAUGAAGAAGACCAACAGUGGGUUUUCGGGAGAGUGAAACAAAAUUGUCAAGACUAUACAUAGACUAUGCUAAGACAGAGAGACGACCCAAUUCAAAAUAUCUAUAAAUAAAAGAGAAGACAUUACACCUGAUACCGAAGAAAUAUAAAGGAGACAAAGAGGUGACUAUGCGCAAACUAGAUGCCAGCAAACCACUUACCUAGAAGAAAUGGAUAGGUUCUUAGAAACACACAACCUACCGAGACUGUAUCAGGAAGAUAUAGAAGGUUUGCACAGACCCAUUAAAGGAAGACUGCAUCAAUACAAGAAGAUAACCAAUGCAAGUAAAUUGAGUUAGUAAUGGAAAUUCUCUCAGGGAAGAAAAGCCCAGGAACAGGUGCAUUCACUGGUGAAUUUGAACAACGGUUGUAGAAGAAACUAACAGCAGUCCUCUCACUGAUUAAAAAGGGAUAAACACCUCCAAACUCAUUUCAUGAGACUGGAAUUACCCUGGUAGGAAGCCAGAAAAGGAUACUACUUGAACAGAAAACUAUAGGCCAGUAUCCCCGUGAUGAAUAGAGAUGAAUAAUUCCCAAUAAUAUACAAGCAAACCAAAUUCAGCAUCACCUUAAAAGGAUCAUUGACCGUGAUGAAGGGCUUUUUUCCCUGUAAAGGAAGGAUGUUUCAGAAAUGCAAAUCAAUAAAUGUGACUCCUCACAUACUUGAAUGAAAAAAAAAAUCAACCAGAAACCAGAAUCUUAAGUAGAAAUAGCAAAGGCAGGGUUACUAGAAGGGAGGUGGGCAGGGGGAUGGGUUUAAUGGGUGACGGGCUAAGGAGGGCGCUAGUAGUGAGGAACACUUGGUGUUGUAUGUAAGUGAUGGAUGACUACAUUCUAUACCUGAAACUAACACUACACUGUAUGUUAACCAACUGGAAUCUAAUUAAAAACUUGAACAAAUAAAUUCUAAAGAAAUACAUAAAUAAAUUUAACCUAAAAUAAAUAAAUACAUUUUAAAAAUUAAAGAGAAAACUCAUGUGACGAUGUCAAUAGACACAGAAAAAAAGUUCUGAGAAAAUUUGGUAUCCAUUUGUGCUAAAAAUCUCUUUAGAAUUCUGUGUAGAAGGAACAUAUCUCAACAUAAGAAAGGCCAUGUAUGUGAAGCCCACAGCUAACAUCAUACUCAAUAGUGAGAUUGUGAAAGAUUUUCCUCUAAGAUGAGGCACAAGACAAGGAUGCCCUAGAUAUGUGAAGGGGAUUGGUUGAUGCAGGUUUCUGUUUAUGGAAUGAAUAAAUCGCAGGUAGAAGACAUAGCAUAGGGAAAAUAGAGAAUGGUAUUGGAGUGGUGAUGCAUGGUGAGAGAUGACAGCUACACCUGUGUUAGCGUAGCACCAUGUAUACACUUGUCCACUCACUAUGUUGUUCAUCUGAGACUAAUGUAACACAGUGUGUCAGCUAUUCCCAAAUAACAUGAUUUUUUUAAAAAAUAAGGUAAAGGAAUGAAAUGAAAAGUUUAAUGUAAAAGAACCUGUUCAUAUCUAAUCA